GUCGAGCGGUAAGUCUACUUCGGUAGACCUAGAGCGGCGCACGGGUGAGUAACACGUGGAUAAUCUGCCUUUCAGCUGGGGAUAGCAUAUGGAAACAUGUGAUAAUACCGAAUAAUAUAUUUUGAACAUAAGUUUAAGAUAGGAAAGGUCCUACGGGAUCACUGAAAGAUGAGUCCGCGGCCCAUUAGCUAGUUGGUAAGGUAAAGGCUUACCAAGGCGACGAUGGGUAGCCGGCCUGAGAGGGUGGACGGCCACAUUGGAACUGAGACACGGUCCAGACUCCUACGGGAGGCAGCAGCUAAGAAUCUUCCACAAUGGACGAAAGUCUGAUGGAGCGACGCCGCGUGAACGAUGAAGGCCGGAAGGUUGUAAAGUUCUUUUUAGAAGGAAGAAUAAGUCUAGUAGGGAAUGACUGGAUGAUGACGUGAAUUCUAGAAUAAGCCCCGGCUAACUACGUGCCAGCAGCCGCGGUAACACGUAGGGGGCGAGCGUUGUUCGGAAUUAUUGGGCGUAAAGGGUGCGCAGGCGGCGAUAUAAGUCUGGUGUAAAAGUUCAGAGCUCAACUCUGUGAUGCGCCGGAAACUAUAUUGCUAGAGUACAGGAGGGGGUAUUGGAAUUCCAGGUGUAGGGGUGAAAUCUGUAGAUAUCUGGAAGAACACCGGUGGCGAAGGCGAAUACCUGGCCAUGUACUGAC
rnacentral:rRNA from 1 species